UGGUGGGCGGGAACAGAGCAGGAGGUCUGGUGGCCAGGGAGAAAUGAAGACCACAGAAGUAUGACAAUCAUACUAAAAAGAAGCUUCUCGUCAAUGGCUCCCAGAAGAUUCCAGGUGGCAUCUUGGUGGAUCAAGAAAUAGAGAGCCUGGGAAAACAAUCUUCCACUCAGUGAACCAAACUACAGACAGAUAGUGAGGAUGCAGAACGCUGUACCUCCCCGGCAAGGUCUUAAGAAGAAGGUUAUGACUCCAGAGAUCAAGUGGCAUCUGCUCCCACCACCACUGAUGUCUCUCAGGCAGGAGGCCUAGUGAGCAAUGGCCAGUGCUCCAGCUGUGGCCCUCAGUGGGCAGUGAGGAAUCGAGAGCAAAGGCCAGCGCCAUUUUACCCACGAACUCACUGACGCUACGGCCACCUGCCUAACACCACGUCAACAUUCCAGCAGACAGCACCGACUGGACUCAUUGGGUCAUUAACAACGGCAAAAGGGGAAACCGAGCGGGCGUGGUGGCCCAUAACCUUAGUCCCAGCACUCGGGAGGCAGAGGCAGGCGGAUCUCUAUGAGCUUGAAGCCAGCCUGCUUUGCAAAGCCAGUUCCAGGACAGCCGAGGUACAUAGGGAGACCCUGCUUUGAAGAAAAAGUGGUUGCUGGGUGGGGGGACAAACGGGGAGAGACAUAUGUUGGUUGGGUGCGUCCAGACAUU